rnacentral:miRNA from 1 species
UUGGCAUGAGUUUGUGAAAGCCGG